AUGAUCGUGCCGCUGCUGCUGCUGCUGCUGAGCGCGUGUGUUAGCACGGGCUUCUCCUACGACAGCCAUGAGGAGCAGUAUGGGAACACACACAAGAUAUUACUCCCUCGACGGGCUCACUCACUCAAGUUCAUCCCUGAGGCCCACUACUCACAUGAGACGAUCUUGUGGAAACGGGACGACCCUGAGGCCAGUGAGGGCGGCAGGGGGAGGGUGAUGGGUAACUAUUACGUGAUACAUCAUUUAACCCAGCAGGACAAUGGCCGCUACGUAAUGCUUGACCAAAAUCAGAGACAGGUGUCCAAAAGGGCCAUCUGGGUAACAGCAAAUCAGAUUUCCUAUGCACUGACUCCUGGUGCACUUCUCAACAUCUCUUCUCAUAUCGACCCAGCCUCCUGCUACAUUUACUUCUACCCAGAGGACAAUACACACCUGAUAAAAGAUGAGGCUGAGAUCGUUUAUAAGGGGAAGCUAAAGCGUGUAUAUACUUGUAAAGGGUUGGAAUUGAUGGAGCCCUGUGGUGUUUUAAAAACUUCCGUCCAAAAUUCGUGCAGUGGACGUUUUGAGUUCCGGGAUGCUUCCGAUGACCUAGCUUUGGAGGUGUUUGUGACUGUAGAGUCUCCAACUUAUGAUCCAUCGCACAUCGGUAUUGGCAUUGGUGCUUGUCUUGCUUCAUUUUUCUGCUGCUGUUGCGUGAGGCGCUGCUGUUGUAAAAAAAACGCCUCGAAAAAGGACGGCGCUGAGACUGAUGCUGCCGCCGCUGAACCGGCUGUAGUUUACCGUGAGUAUGUCCAUGAGCCUGUUGCAGUGGGGUCAGGCCGACUCAGUCAGCCCAGUGAGACACACCCCCCCAACCCGCCUUCUUAUGCUCCGACCGGCCCACUGAUACACAGUCCUCCCACUGUGAAUUCACCACCUGCUUAUUCUGAGGUUUCAGCUCCAGCCGAGCAGGCCAGUGCUCCGACUGCCCCCCUCUACUCUGACCCUGGGAUCCAGUUUGAACUGAAGGGGCGGAACUUCCCCUCUGCUCCCCCACUCAGUUCAGAUUCCACUUUCUGUCAUGUUUAUACCUCAGACAAACUCAACUACAUCUGA
rnacentral:lncRNA from 1 species